AUUGAACGCUGGCGGCAUGCCUUACACAUGCAAGUCGAACGGUAACGGGCCUUCGGGUGCCGACGAGUGGCGAACGGGUGAGUAAUGUAUCGGAACGUACCUUUCAGUGGGGGAUAACGUAGCGAAAGUUACGCUAAUACCGCAUACUCUGUGAGCAGGAAAGCAGGGGAUCGCAAGACCUUGCGCUGAUUGAGCGGCCGAUAUCAGAUUAGCUAGUUGGUUAGGUAAAGGCUCACCAAGGCGACGAUCUGUAGCGGGUCUGGGAGGAUGAUCCGCCACACUGGAACUGAGACACGGUCCAGACUCCUACGGGAGGCAGCAGUGGGGAAUUUUGGACAAUGGGGGCAACCCUGAUCCAGCCAUGCCGCGUGAGUGAAGAAGGCCUUCGGGUUGUAAAGCUCUUUCGGCCGGGAAGAAAUCGUAUCAGCUAAUACCUGGUGCGGAUGACGGUACCGGCAUAAGAAGCACCGGCUAACUACGUGCCAGCCGCCGCCGUAACAC
rnacentral:rRNA from 1 species